rnacentral:rRNA from 1 species
GAACCGUCCAAACGUUAUUCGGAAUCACUGGGCUUAAAGGGUGCGUAGGCGGCCGUACAAGUCGGGGUGUGAAAUCCCUCGGGCUCAACCGAGGAAUUGCGCCCGAAACUGUGCGGCUAGAGGGAGACAGAGGUGAGCGGAACUGGCGGUGGAGCGGUGAAAUGCGUUGAUAUCGCCAGGAACACCAGUGGCGAAGGCGGCUCACUGGGUCUCUUCUGACGCUGAGGCACGAAAGCUAGGGGAGCGAACGGGAUUAGAUACCCCGGUAGUCCUAGCUGUAAACGUUGAGCACUGGAUCGGAGGGCCCUCCAUAACCUUCCGGUCGUAGCGAAAGUGUUAAGUGCUCCGCCUGGGGAGUAUGGUCGCAAGGCUG